GACGAACGCUGGCGGCGUGCUUAACACAUGCAAGUCGAACGGAAAGGCCCGGCUUUUGUGGGGUGCUCGAGUGGCGAACGGGGGAGUAACACGUGAGUAACCUGCACUUGACUGUGGGAUAACUUCAGGAAACUGGGGCUAAUACCGGAUAGGAGCUCCUGCUGCAUGGUGGGGGUUGGAAAGUUUCGGCGGUUGGGGAUGGACUCGCGGCUUAUCAGCUUGUUGGGGGGGUAGUGGCUUACCAAGGCUUUGACGGGUAGCCGGCCUGAGAGGGUGACCGGCCACAUUGGGACUGAGCUACGGCCCAGACUCCUACGGGACGCAGCAGUGGGGAAUGUUGCACAAUGGGCUGAAGCCUGAUGUAGCAACGCCGCGUGCGGUAAGACGGCCUUCGCGUUGUGUUCCGCUGUCGCCUGUGACGAAGCGUUAGUGACGGUAAUGGGUGAAGAAGCACCGGCUAACUACGUG
rnacentral:rRNA from 1 species